UGUCCACUGUUUAUUCAUUUAUUCAAUUUUAUCUCUCAAAUGCUAAUUAAAUCCUAUAGACAACAAAAUGUUUUGAUGAAAAUAUUACAAUAUAGUUUUAAUAUUAUAAUAUAGUGUACAGCAAACACAGCUGAAAACACAAUCCACUGGCACUGGUUUAAGAAAAAGAGAGAGAGAUCAAAACCAGAGUAUAUUUUAAUCUAAAAAAAAAUGAAAUCUAAUUUACAAGGUAAGUGCAAAGCAUAUGAAGACACUCAGGAUUUACACAACAGUCAAUAUCAUCAAGACUUCACAUGAAUAUCCAUGUUCUUUUGUAGAGGUCAAGCAGGAAGAAACACAGAAUUGUGUACCAUCAGAGAUUUCAGUAGAGAGCGCCCUCUGCUGGUGAAGAGAGGAAACGUCCACCUAUACACAGAAACAUAUUAACUUAAGUGUCAUUUAUUUCCACAGGGUGCCUCUGCAUUUAGGACUAAAAAGCCAAAUAUAAAGUGUUUGGUUUAUACAACUGGAAAAACACUCUACAGAUUUAUAUAGGUUACAUAUAAAUUUUAUUUCUUUAGCUUAAAUAGAUAUUGGUGUCCUGUCUGUUUGUAGACUCCAAUAUUGUAGAAAAGUACCUUUCUAUUCUAUACUUUAUUCACAGUUCAAUACUUAUUCUGUACUAUUGUUUACUCAUUGUGUUUUUCCAUUGUCUUCUUUUGCUCUGCACAUCAUUACAGGGGUAAGUGAAUAAAACUACUAUUUUUCUCUUUUGAAUGGUAAUUUACUUAAAAUGAUUUUAUACACACCAAUCUUUUAUAUGAAAACACUCAUGUAUUCACUAUUUCAUAUUCAGACAAUGUUAUUUACUUUAUUUAAACAGAUUCACAUUUAUUUUUGCAGACAUCAUUAUACAGAGCAGCUUAAAUGUAUUCAGUAAGGCAUCUGUGAACAUCUGAAACUUGAUCUGUGUCUUCAGGACAGAUCCUGAAUGUAGAAAAAACAAUUAUGACUGUGCCUCCAUGUGGUCAAGAACUGUAAUAUCUUUAUUUUUUCCCCCUUAUAUCAUAAUUUGUGCUAACCCCCCCCCACAUAAUUAUCUGCAAUAUUCUGAAGUAAACACACAUUAACAUUUCAAAAUCAGGUGCUCAGCAUUUUAAUAAAUUAAUUAAUUAAUUAAUUAAUUAAUUAAUCUUUGAUCCUCCUUAGAUUUUUGUCCACUGUUUAUUCAUUUAUUCAAUUUUAUCUCUCAAAUGCUAAUUAAAUCCUAUAGACAACAAAAUGUUUUGAUGAAAAUAUUACAAUAUAGUUUUUAUAUUAUAAUAUAGUGUACAGCAAACACAGCUGAAAACACAAUCCACUGGCACUGGUUUAAGAAAAAGAGAGAGAGAUCAAAACCAGAGUAUAUUUUAAUCUAAAAAAAAAUGAAAUCUAAUUUACAAGGUAAGUGCAAAGCAUAUGAAGACACUCAGGAUUUACACAACAGUCAAUAUCAUCAAGACUUCACAUGAAUAUCCAUGUUCUUUUGUAGAGGUCAAGCAGGAAGAAACACAGAAUUGUGUAACAUCAGAGAUUUCAGUAGAGAGCGCCCUCUGCUGGUGAAGAGAGGAAACGUCCACCUAUACACAGAAACAUAUUAACUUAAGUGUCAUUUAUUUCCACAGGGUGCCUCUGCAUUUAGGACUAAAAAGCCAAGGGUAAGUGAAUAAAACUACUAUUUUUCUCUUUUGAAUGGUAAUUUACUUAAAAUGAUUUUAUACACACCAAUCUUUUAUAUGAAAACACUCAUGUAUUCACUAUUUCAUAUUCAGACAAUGUUAUUUACUUUAUUUAAACAGAUUCACAUUUAUUUUUGCAGACAUCAUUAUACAGAGCAGCUUAAAUGUAUUCAGUAAGGCAUCUGUGAUCAUCUGAAACUUGAUCUGUGUCUUCAGGACAGAUCCUGAAUGUAGAAAAAACAAUUAUGACUGUGCCUCCAUGUGGUCAAGAACUGUAAUAUCUUUAUUUUUUCCCCCUUAUAUCAUAAUUUGUGCUAACUAGCCCCCCCCACAUAAUUAUCUGCAAUAUUCUGAAGUAAACACACAUUAACAUUUCAAAAUCAGG